ACAUGCCUACAACAUAGCUUAAAUGCACAUGAUCUCAUUAGAACUCCGUAGUUAAGCGUGCUUGAUUUAGAGUAGUAUUGGGAUGGUUGACUGCCCGAGAAGUCCUAGUAUUUUACAUGCG
rfam:Picea glauca, whole genome shotgun sequence.